GCCAGUCCCUCAAGCCCUUGGAGGCAUCCUCUCUCUAUCUGGGAACCCAGGGCCCCUUCCUCAGGCUAGCCCAUCCCCCCAUAGCCAGUGCCGGUCUGGGUUGGCUCUGGGAGGGUAACCCAGAGGUUGUGUGGCCCCACGGGAGGGGCCUGGGCCCCUAGGACCCACAGGAGUGUUGUUACCGGCUUAGGGUCCAGCCUCCUGAGCCACACUGCCUGGGUCUUAGGCACUGAGACCAGAGCCAGCAGGACAGCUCACAGGACAGCCUCAUCCUUGCAGUACAGUUUCCUGACGCAACAUUUGAGGAGACAAAGAUGAAAGAAGAGAAUCACAGCAGAAGAGAGAUAAGGGAAGCAGACCCACCAAUGCUCCCUGCGUUGGAAUUACAAGGCAGGCUCUCGUAGUCCACUUGGGCUGAUAUCACAAAAAUACCACACACUGGGUGGCUUAUAAACAACAGGCAUUUAUUUCUCAGUUCUGGUAGCGAAAAGUUCUAGUCAGGGUGCUAGCAGGGUCAAGGAGGGCCUCUUGUGGGUCACAGACCUCUCACAGUGUCCUCAUGGUGGAAGGGGUAGGGAAGUUCUGCUGUGGGGUCUCUUUCAUAAGGGCAUGGAUUCCAUUCAAGAGGCUCCACCGUCAUGACCUAGUCCCCUUCCAAGGGCUCACUUCCCAGUGCGAUCGUACUGGGGGCUAGGACGUCAACAUGAGUAUUGGGGGUAGACACACACAUCAGGACCACACAGAUUGUGAAAACAGCUAUGAUCACCUUGCUUAACAAGAUGGGAGCCACAUUGAAAUUUUAUGGUAUUUUUGCAAUUCUCAUAAUACAGCUGGAAACCAUAAAAAGUGGUAUAGAUAAAAGACAUCUGUGUAACCCAAAAUAAUCUUACAGAUUGCAGAUUUGGAGAAAAAUAUAUACAGUAGGCUCUCAUGAGCCAGAAUGCACAGGUUGUUCUACAAAGGAGACAUCUUAAAUCCUGGGAAAAAAUUGAUUUUGGGCAAUAAAUCCGGACAACUAGAUAUCCAUUUAGAAGAAGAUUAAGAUGAAGCAUAUUCACCUCAUGCAUGGGAAUAAACAUGAAAUGGAUCAGAAAUCUCAAUGCUAAACAUGGAAAUGGAAUCAUAUGAGUAACAAAAGAAAUCACUGGUGGGUUUCUGUAUGAUGUGGAUGGAAGGAAAUGCUUUCUAAUUGUAUCAGAUUUCACUCCUGAAGGCGGAACCAUCAGGAGGCAUAUAGAUUCACAAAUAAGGGGUUUGUGGCAGGAGGUUGACCUCACAUCACUGUAGGAGCUCAUUUCACAGGCCCCGUAAGGCUUUUGUCUUCUGGGGAUUCUGGGCAAUGUCAUGCAGCCCAGGCAGAUCAAGCCACUACAAACCCAUAGGCCACACUAACUAUGCAUAAAAUCCAGAUGUAAUAAAAGAAAGUACUGAUAAAUAACUUGACUAUAUUUUUAAAUUUUUUAUAGCAAAAAUAAAGCCAUAAACAAAGUCAAAAGAUGAGUGACAAGUCUGGAGAAAAUAUUUCCAACACAGAUCACAUGCAAGGGCUAAUAGCCAUACUCUACCAAAACUUUUAGAAAUUAAAGAAAAACAGGGCUGAAAACGCAUCACAAAAAAAGGACAAUGACAUAACCAGAUAAUUCACACGAAAAAGUUAAAAUGACCCCUAAACAUGAAAAGAUGUUUCUUAUGAAUUGCAUUCCACCAACCCCCCGCCCCCACCAAUUUCUAUGCUGAGGUCCUGACCCCAGAACCUUAGAAUAUGACUCUGUUCAGACAUGGAGGCUUUUAAAGAGUUAGUUAAGUCCAAAUGAGAUUGUUCAGUUUAAACGUACCUGGGGUCCUUAUCAGAAGAGAUUAAGGUACACACACACACACACACACACACACACACACACACACACACACACACACUCAACUGGGGCGACCAUGUGGGGACAUGGGGAAAAGAUGGCUAUGUACACACCAAGGAGAGAGGCCUUGGGAGGAACUGGCCCUGCCACACCUGGAUCUGACUCCAGCCUCCAGAGCUGGGAGAGAAUACACCUCUGAUGUUUAAGUCUGUGGUGCUUUGUAAUGGCAGCCCUGGUGAAUGGAUACAAUGUUCAUUUUCAUUCACAGUAAGAAAAUGCAAAUUAAAACAAUGCGGAGAUGUCAUUUAUCACCUAUCAUCCUGCCAAAAAUUGCAGAGCUUAGCCACACCACCCACAAUUUGGCUACACGAGCAUGCCCAUGCACUGCCUGUCAGACUGCAAAUGGUACCAUCAUUACAAAGGGGAAUGUGGCAACAUCUAACAAAACUUAACUACCUGCCCGUUUGUCUUUUGUUCUAGAAAUCCCACUCACAGGAAUCUAUCCUAAGGAAGUACCUGAGACAAUACAAACUAUAUAUACACACAGUGGUUACUCAGUAAAGCAUUGUUUGUGAUAGAAAACUGUUGGAAGUUGGCUAGGUGCCCACAUCCAGGAGACUGUUUGAAUCAAAGAUGGUGUACCCACAAACAGUCCUAUGCAGCUAUAAAAGAAUAACCCGAAGGUCUCUGUGAACCAACAUGGGGUGAGUGCUAGGACAUGAAGGUGUAUUGUAAAGUGGAAAAAGCCAAGUGCCAAAGGGCAUGUGAAGCACACAGCCUUCUAGGUGAGACAGAAAGGAUGAUAAGGAAAUGUACGUUGUCUGCCUAUUUCUGCAAGAAGAAACACAGGAAGGAUAAAUCGGAGUCUAAAGAGCUUCGUCACCCACAGGGGUAGGCUGGGGAGGAAGUUAGACCCCCUCCCCACAGCAUACCUUCUUUUAUGUUGUUGUUUUUUUCCAGAUUCAUUUAUUUAUUUUAGAAGAGGAGAGAGAGAGAGCAGGGGGAGGGGGAGAGGGACUGGGAGAGAGAAUCUUCCAGCUGACUCCCUGAUGAGCUUGGAGGAGCCCGGCAUGGGGCUCCAUCCCAGGACCGUGAGAUCCUGACCUGAGCCGAAGGCAGACGCUUUAACCGACUGAGCCACCCAGGUGUCCCCACCCUUCACCCUUUUCUGUUACAGGCUUUAUGAUAUUUACAUUUAACAGUUAAUAUGUAGAUUCAGUAAAAGUUAAGCUUCUGUCACUUUAAGCUGUACCAGUCAAAGGUACUUCCUCAGGCUCCUUGCAUGAGCUCAGGCUUGGGUCAGAUUGACCUGGGUUCAAACCCACAGCAGGGCCAUGUCACAGCCCUGUGACAGGAACCUCCUAUGGGAACUCUUGGAAACAUGCCUGGGGCCAUGGUGUGGGGAGGAGUAACUUGCCAGGCUGAAGGCCAGGGGUCCCCACGAUGCCCAAAGGGCUGCCAUAGGCAUCCACAUUCUAGAGACAGACCCCUACUCCCUUCAAUUGGCUAGAGAUGCUCCAAUGAUCAAACUGUUCUCCCGCUGUAUCCCUACAUGCUGAGGAUGUGGUAGAAAAGCCAACAGUGAGAGCCAUUUCCUACACUGCAGACCGGAGUCAGGUCUCACCCCUGACAUCUCUGGCCAUUUGCCUGGAGGUACCCAAAGGUAACAAGGGAGGCCCAGAGCCAGCCAGGCCAGUCAGACACUGCUGUGAUCCGACUGUGCAGCCCAGCUCUCCUCGUGUGUGUGUGUGUGUGUGUGUGUGUGUGUGUGUGUGUGUGUGUACAGGGGUCUCAUGCAGGGUGAUGAUGGGUCCGAUGCCCGGUGGGUGGAUCAUGCUCACACCCCAGGUCAAGGCUGGCUGGGUGCGAUGGGGUGUGGGGGGCUGGGAGCUUCUGCUCAGGGUUUAUCCCGAGAGCUCCACAGGUAUGGGUCACUGUCUGGGGUGUUGGGCUAUGCACGCACAGGUGUGUGUCUGAUCUGGGAGCAACAGGGGGACUGGACAGUGUGACAGUGAGGACGGCCGGGCAGGGCUGUGAUGCCUCCGGGCCGGCUACCCCUCACUGUCUUUGCAGUAGUCAACGGAUGUAAUGGACUAGAGGAUGGCAGACACCCACUCCAUCUCUAUGACCUGGGGCGUGACCCCAUAGGGCUGUCCAGGAGCAGGAGCUGAGUAUUGCCGGGGAAGGCCUCUGACAUCACCCAGACCACUGUCUGUGGUAGUCGUUCAGUAGAUUGUGCUCCAGGAGCCAGAGCCCAUGGAGGCCAACCCCGAGGCUGAGAAGCCUGGGGCAGGGUGCCUGUGGGUGUGUGGGGAAGGGUCGGGGCUGGCCCCACAGCGAGGAGCCCACAGAACCUGGUGUGGGUCCUGGAGCAAAGACUGGGCUCAGAGCGCCCAGCGGGUGGACUGCAGUCGGGGAGACGUCCCGGGGAGGGUUCCUUCCUACCUGGGGCAUCUCUGGGAGACUCUGGGCUGUGCACGCACAGGUGUGUGUCUGAUCUGGGAGCAGCAAGGGGACUGACUGGGCAGGGGGACAGUGAGGUUGGCUGGGCAGGGUUUGAUGCGUCCGGGCCGGCUACCUGUUCCUGUCUUUGCAGAAGUCAACGGGUGAAACCAGCUGGAGGUUGGCGGAUAGCCGUUACAUAUCCAGGACCUAGGGUGUGACCCCACAGGGUUCCCCAGAAAUAGGUGCUGGGGAUUGCCGGGAAGGCCUCCAACAUCACCCAGACCACUGUCCGCGGUAGUCAUUUACUGGAUUGUGCUGCAGGAGCCGGAGCCCAUGGAGGCUGAGCCUCAGAGCCCCGUGGAAGCUGGCCUGGCUUCUGUCCCUGCACCUGGCUCCUGACACAUGCUAGAGAUGCAGAUGGAGUCGCUCUAGCUCCUCAGAUGGUGGAGCAGCUGAGAAAGGAGAAGAAGAGCUCAGCCCGUGCCUGCUCUCCGUGGGCCUUUGCAAGACAGAGCCCAGCCCAGGGCCUCCCAGAGAAGCUGAAGCCAGGAAGGAGCCCUCCCCGGGACGUCUCCCCGACUUCCGUCCACCCGCUUGGUGCCCAGUCUUUGCUCCUGCCCCCACACCAGCCUCUGGGGCUCCUCCCUGUGGGGCCAGCCCUGACCCUUCCCCUCACACCCACAGGCACCCACCUCCGGUCUUCUCAUCCUCAGGGUCAGCCUGCGUCGGCUCUGCGUGCUCCAACUGGGCCAUCAGAAGGUGGGCAUGGCGCUCCAGGUCAGAACCGGGCAUGUUGAGCUGCACAUGGGCCACCAGCUGCUUGAGGCAGGGAACGUCCGGGCUGACAGAAGUCCUCUGAGUACUGGUCCAGCCAGGUGCCCAGAAUGGAGGAGAUGGCCCUGGAGGGCCCGUCAUCCUUUGGACAAUGAGAGCAGAGGGAUCCCCAUCUAGAGGAGGCCGGCAGGGCGUCCCACGCAACGUCCUGUGCCCAUCUCUGCUUUGUCGUCUAGGGUUACCGGUGGACCUCCACCUAGAACAGAGGCCCACGGGGCAGGGCCGGGGGCCAGCCCCACUCCCGCCAGGCAGGGCCGCUGGACCGAGUGGACAUGGAGACCUGGGGACUAGAGAGAAAUGAAGUAUACCCCCCACCUUGCCGUCCUGGCCGCCACGUUCCACUCCAGUGUUCGUCCAGCACCCCGUCUCCCCAAGUUCCGGCCCUCGAACACUUUCAUCUCCCUGCUUUAAUCCCCAACACAUCCUCCUGAGGUGGGAGUCACUGACACCAUCUUCAAAGUAGAAAACGGAGGUCCCAAGAGUUCCCAUAGGAGCUUGCCAGUCACAGGGCUGUGACAUGGCCCUGCUGUUAGUUUGAUCCAGAUCAGUCCGACCCAAAACCUGAGCUUCCAGAGGAGCCUGAGGAAGUAGCCUUUGAGCCCAGGCUUG